GAUUUCUGCUUGACCGUCCUGGCCCGCCUCUUUCGGGAGGUGAGUGCUGUGACGAGUCUUGCAUCCUUCUAGAGAGCCGUGCCUGCUGUUCACUCAGCUGGGCGUGUGCGAUCUAGAUCUUUUACUUUGAAAAAAUUAGAGUGUUUAAAGCAGGCUUACGCUGUGAAUACAUUAGCAUGGAAUAAUAAUAUAGGACUUUGGUCUUAUUUUGUUGGUUCUGAGGACUGAAGUAAUGAUUGAUAGGGAUAGUUGGGGGUGCUAGUAUUCAGUGGCCAGAGGUGAAAUUCUUGGAUUCACUGAAGACUAACUACUGCGAAAGCAUU
rnacentral:rRNA from 1 species